rnacentral:rRNA from 1 species
CGUAGGGUGCGAGCGUUAAUCGGAAUUACUGGGCGUAAAGCGUGCGCAGGCGGUUUUGUAAGUCAGAUGUGAAAUCCCCGGGCUCAACCUGGGAACUGCAUUUGAGACUGCAAGGCUAGAGUGUGGCAGAGGGGGGUAGAAUUCCACGUGUAGCAGUGAAAUGCGUAGAGAUGUGGAGGAAUACCGAUGGCGAAGGCAGCCCCCUGGGCCAAUACUGACGCUCAUGCACGAAAGCGUGGGGAGCAAACAGGAUUAGAUACCCUGGUAGUCCACGCCCUAAACGAUGUCAACUAGGUGUUGGGAGGGUUAAACCUCUUAGUGCCGUAGCUAACGCGUGAAGUUGACCGCCUGGGGAGUACGGCCGCAAGGCUA